UACGUAGGGUGCGAGCGUUGUCCGGAAUCAUUGGGCGUAAAGCGCGUGUAGGCGGCCCGAUAAGUCCGCUGUGAAAGUCCAGGGCUCAACCCUGGGAUGCCGGUGGAUACUGUCGGGCUCGAGUCCGGAAGAGGCGAGUGGAAUUCCUGGUGUAGCGGUGAAAUGCGCAGAUAUCGAGGAGGAACACCAAUGGCGAAGGCAGCUCGCUGGGACGUGACUGACGCUGAGACGCGAAAGCGUGGGAGCAAACAGG
rnacentral:rRNA from 1 species